AGACUUUUCAACCCUUUACAAUGAUAGUACUCCUAUGCCGCCCUACACAUCUUUUUCCAAAAUCACGUUUCAUCAAAUUUCUACUUCCAAGACGCCAGUGACAGACCCUUCCCGUCAAAGGAUAGACACUCUUUAUUCCUUCUCCUCUUCCCCAUACCUGUCGCUCCUUCGUCCCAUCAAAGAACGGUCAUGGACCGUUGGGAAACAACAAUUUCCGGCAGUAUGUCUCCCCAUCACUCUUUUUCUGCUGAAAAGAGGCCUCUAUGCCGCCUAUGCCUUAUCCCGAAGGUUCCAAAAAUCUUAAAGUUGAUGUUGAUUCAAUUUUAAUUGCAGUCCUUUGCUCCUAGCAGUUUUUGGAUUUCAAAUCCGAAUUUGCAGUCAGAUGUUGCCUUUAAAAGGGCAAACGAUAUCCAGAUGAAAAGGAAAGAAAAGGGAGGGGAAUCACCAAAAAAACUUAAAUCUAGAAAAAGAUCAAGGAACAUCCAAAAAAAUAAUCUGAAUAUUGUCCUUCUACGAGUUGUUGUUCGAGUUCAAAGUGAUUUUUUGACGACAAAUCUCUAGUUUGCUGCUCCAAGAAAGGUCGAAUAGAUGCCUUGCUUUGCUCGCAAUAGGCGUUAUUACCUAGUCUCCACUUUGAGUAUGGUAACUAUGUCACCCAGUUUUAUCACUGCUUGUUUAAAUCCUGUCGGUCUAUUAUUUUGAACUCUUAUUAGCCUAAACUCUUACAAUUUGCUUAUGUCCUCACCUAGCUCGAAUGCUGGUCGCUUUUCUCUUGUAUUUCAGCUACUUAUAUCAAUUAUGUAAACUCGAGUUAGAAACGGCUUUGAAAAGCAUAAGACAUGUCAUAUUGCUGCUUUCUAGUUCUGCAACACGAUUUUAUUAGACAUUAGGCUGAUUUUGUUCGUUCUCUAUUGCUAAGUGUCAUUCAAGUUUAGGCUGAUGUUACAUCUUAUAAAUUUGCUACAUUAUCUUGUUGUUUCGAGAGUUCGAUUUCGCUUAAAGUUUGAAGAGUAUCGAUUCUAAACCUUGUCUGCUUCUUUGAACGUAACCAUGUUUUGUUAGAAAUUCCCUUUUGCUUAAGUAUGACUGUAGGUUCAUUUUUAGUAUAAUAUUAAUUUCAUCUCUUAUGUGAACCUUUUGUGGAUGGUAGUUUUCUCAUAACAUACUACUCUUGCUAAAUGUUGAUGUAAUGUUUACUGCUCCAUUGACAUCGUGUAGGACUAUUCUCCCCCUACAAGCCAUACCCUGUAAACUACAGUUCUCCCUAAAAAUAGCGUUGAAACAUUCACCUCCUUCAAGUGUUUUUUUUCUUAGAUUUAUCAACAAUAACAAAAGAAAAAAAAUGUUCUAUUAUGUUCAUAAAGUGUUCAUCAGCUAAAAUGUAUUCUCAAAGUUCUAUAAAUAUGCCCUUACUUUAUUUAUUCUUUUCUUUUAAGUACAACUCUUUAAGCCCUUGUUUUCCUUAGUUGUGUUAGAACUCAACCAACGAAAUAACAAAUAUAUACAUGUGAACCUGAGAUAUGGGAACUGCUGCAGCUUUUGCUAAUUCUUUCUUUCAUUAUACAUGUUCACUUGGGAGCGCAUUUGGAGUUGUGAUACGACUCCAUUAAUCUGUUGCAAAUCAGAUUUGUGCUCAUCGAUACAUUAUCAGCCCGUGUCUAGCAGCCUUUAUCGCGUCAAUAGCGUCCAACGAUCCCUCCUCGUUCGAAGUUUCAAUCUUUUUAUAUAUACAUGUGUUGUUAUCUUUUGACUAACAUUUACACAUUCUUAUUUCACACUUGUGUAUAUGCUUCCUUUAUUUUGUUUGGCUUAACUAAGGGUGAUGGUGAAGUAUAGUUGUUCACCUCCACAUCCCCCUAAAUAUUAGUUCAUUAUAGUUAUUUAAUUUGUAAUAUCAUUUUCCAAAGUUUCACUUGUUACUUGAUG